GUGUGGUUAGCUUUGUAUUAGGAUUUACUCCGAAAGCAAGGAAACUUACAACAAAGAGUCCCUCCCGACUGUUUACCAAAAACACAGCACUCUGCUAACUCGUAAGAGGAUGUAUAGGGUGUGACGCCUGCCCGGUGCUCGAAGGUUAAUUGAUGGGGUUAGCAUUAGCGAAGCUCUUGAUCGAAGCCCGAGUAAACGGCGGCCGUAACUAUAACGGUCCUAAGGUAGCGAAAUUCCUUGUCGGUUAAAUACCGACCUGCAUGAAUGGCGUAACGAGAUGGGAGCUGUCUCAAAGAGGGAUCC
rnacentral:rRNA from 1 species